rnacentral:lncRNA from 1 species
AAUUCUGCAAGUUGCUACCAGCACCUAAACACCAGAGCUGGAGAUGCAGCACUGAGUGGCACCAACAUUCCUGCAGCAGCUGGGAGAUGCCUUCUCCAAGACUACCAGGCAGUGACAAACCACCCAAAAUCCAAGUCACAGCUGGCAAGAGCCCCUUUCAGAGUACCAAAGUGCAUGUCUCUGGCUGCCAUCCUCAGGAACAUGGCAGUAGUCUCCAACUAUAAUCCAGUCUGCCCAACCUUCCCUGCUCCCAAGAGCAACAGCCCAGUCUAGUUCCAAGAGCUGUGUGGAGAUAACAAGAACCAAAGGGGCAGCAGGUGGUUCCAGCUGACUUCAUCACAUCUUUCCCCAAAAUAAUCUGCUGGACAGCUGUGAGGAGGAGAAUCUCAUCUGGCUGCAAAUCAGCAUAAGCAGGGGAGAUGGGAUGUGGAGUCAGGCACAGAGGCUGUCGUGGAUUAUUUAUGGCUCUCAGUGGAUGGACAACUUUCCUAAGUCAAUAACCCUGCAGCCAGAGCUUUUUUUGCUACUUCAAGAGCAACAAAGCACAUCUGGUUUUGCUUCCCAGGCUGUUUUUCAGGAGACUCUUCUGGGUUUCCCUGGAGUCUGGGUCCAGUUGGGUUUAUGUGAAGCCAGCCUCACACCUGGAGAAAUCUGCCAGCUCUGUGGUUAUCACCAGCACUGCUGCCUUGUCAUUCUUGGCUGCUUUUGCCCCAGCUGGAAUUCCCUGUGUGUGGUGAUUGAGAAUGAACCAUGGACCAUGACAUUUAGAGAGCCAAGAUUAAUCAGAGGAAGGAGAGUAAUCCAUUUACAGUGGUUGGCUGAUUUGGUACCAUCAGAGGAACAACUGAGGUACAAGCUACCUCUCUUUUUAACUACGAGGGAGAACAACAGAGAGAUUCAUGCUCUUGUCAGCUUUUUUCUGAUCUGCAGAGACAAUUCCUCAGUAUUCAACAAGGUGGGAAAUGCAAAAAAUUCUUUUCCUUGUGGUAAAGACUGCACCAUCACUGAUGAUUUCUGAGGCUCUGCUUUUAUCAUCAGCCAAACUCAGUUCCCCAACCAGAAAAUGGUCUCAUACCUGGAGGGGCAGCAAGAUUGCUGCACUCCUGGAUGGGUCUGCACAAACAGGAAUGAGGGAUCUGCUCAUACCA